rnacentral:rRNA from 1 species
UCCUACGGGAGGCAGCAGUGGGGAAUUUUCCGCAAUGGGCGAAAGCCUGACGGAGCAAUACCGCGUGAGGGAAGACUGCCUAUGGGUUGUAAACCUCUUUUUUCGGGGAGGAAUAAAAUGACGUGUACCUGAAGAAUAAGCAUCGGCUAACUCCGUGCCAGCAGCCGCGGUAAGACGGAGGAUGCAAGUGUUAUCCGGAAUCACUGGGCGUAAAGCGUCUGUAGGUGGUUAAGCAAGUCAACUGUUAAAUCUUGAGGCUCAACUUCAAAAUCGCAGUCGAAACUGUUUGACUAGAGUAUAGUAGGGGUAAAGGGAAUUUCCAGUGGAGCGGUGAAAUGCGUAGAUAUUGGAAAGAACACCGAUGGCGAAGGCACUUUACUGGGCUAUUACUGACACUCAGAGACGAAAGCUAGGGUAGCAAAUGGGAUUAGAUACCCCAGUAGUCCUAGCCGUAAACAAUGGAUACUAGAUGUUGAACAGAUCGACCUGUGCAGUAUCAAAGCUAACGCGUUAAGUAUCCCGCCUGGGAAGUAUGCUCGCAAGAGUGAAACUCAAAGGAAUUGACGGA